UGGGCUGCCGUCUAUGGGGUCGCACAGAGUCGGACACGACUGAAGUGACCUACCUUACCUUAUGGCCACUCACAGUUCUUCCUGGGGAGAAGUGGAGUCUAUUUCCUUCCUACUGUCUGGGGGACUUGCUUUGACCAAGUCAAUGUGGCAGCAGUGACGCCAUGCCACUUCUGGGCCUGGAAGCUUCUGCUUUCACUGUCUCAGAAUCCAGCCACCACGUAGUAAGGAAAUCCAGGCUUCCCUGGGGGAAGGAGAAACCAGGGGGUGAGAAAAGUCAUGUGGAGGAUGAAAGGCUAUGUGACACAACCUUCUAGGUCCUUCAGGCCACAAGCUGAACGCAGCUGCCUGCAUGUCCAGUCCAUUCCCUGUCUUGUCGGCACCGGGUACUUCUCUUGUCUCGUCCACAUCAGCCGUGUCCAGCCUACCAGAGGAGCAAGAAGAAUCACAAAACCACUGUUAUUUUAAGCCCCAACUUUUCGGAUAGUCUGUUACAUAACAAAAGACAACAGAAAUAGAUCCAUUUGCUUUUUGUCUUCUCUCAAACCUCAAUUUUGACCACAGUGUCUGCAAAGAUAUAUAGCCCCAUCAAAUAGCAGAAAGAAAACUGAUUUAUUCUGGGCCAACCAUGAAUAUCCAGUGAAUCCUUAUUUUCCCCACCAGGUCACUUUGUUUAGUAUCAAAGAUGCCUCAGAAGAGUGCCUGUGGGUCUCUUCCGCCUCUCCGUUCCUUCUCCCGACUCACUCUGCCUCAAAUUCUGGGAUCUUUUUACGCCCACCCUCCCCUGGGAUCCUGCCUCAAUUUUGGAGAAAACGUACAAGGCCUAUGAGUUGCUGACUGUUUUCUAGAAUAUUCUUAACAUUGUGUUCUAAGCAAAGGUGUUAUGUCUUACAGAUUUUUCAGAGGCUACAAGGAAGAAUGAGGGACAGCCCGGCAACAUGUUUGUCACUAUGCCCUUCCUCCAGGACUGCACGCUCCUGGAAUGUGACCACUUUUCAGAGAUGCCGCCAAUCGGAGCCGAGAGCUGGAGCUCAGAGAUGGGGGGAUGCUGAGAGAAUCCAGGAGAGCGCACCACGGCUGGCACAGUGCUCAGCACACAGCAGGCCCUCAAUAUCAGCGUGCUCUGGUCCUGUUGUGUCUGCAGAAGGAGACACACCCUCCUCCCUGCUCGUGACCAUGGAAUCCUGGAUCUCACCACCCAAGCCCAGGAAAGCCACCUGCCCACUGUCAUCCUGAAACCAGUCCCAGACCUGCUUUCUCUCCCCAUCUUGCCUGACAAGCCCUCAGA